CGCUGGGUUAGGUACGGGUUGGGUAGUUUUGGGUAGUUUUAACCCAUAAUGUUAACCCAGCCAGUAACCCAUUUCAUUGGGUUACGAGACUGCUCUGAUGUCCGUGAAAGAUCGUUUCAAAUUUCAACUGACAAUAUGGGCCACGCUGCAGAAAAUGUUCAAGAAGUCGGUGAAAUUAAAGCCCUAUGUAAGUUGAGAAGAUAGCCAGGGACCCUGUUGCUGGGUGGAGCUGUCUUGUUACUGUACGUGACCCCCAUGUCUGAAAAUAAGUGGAACUAGUCGGUUUCUGAAGCAAAGAAGAUGGCCAGGACUCCUUGUUGAUAGAUGGGAGCCAGAUAGAGUUGGUAGAGCCGAGAAGAUGGCCAGGAUUGCUGCUGGACGGAAGCUGGACCCGGGGAACAUAGUUGAGAAGAUAGCCAGGGACCCUGUUGCUGGGUGGAGCUGUCUUGUUACUGUACGCGACCCCCAUGUCUGAAAAUAAGUGGAACUAGUCAGUUUCUGAAGCAAAGAAGAUGGCCAGGACUCCUUGUUGAUAGAUGGGAGCCAGAUAGAGUUGGUAGAGCCGAGAAGAUGGCCAGGAUUGCUGCUGGACGGAAGCUGUCUAGUUACAUUGAUUCCCCUUGUAGGACCGUGUCGGAAAAUGCUGAGAAAGACCAACGGUUUUUAAAAAGAAGAUGGCCAGGAUUCCUUACUGCUGGAUGGAAGCGGUCUAGUUGCAGUACAUUAAGCCCCCUUGUAGGACCAUGUUGGAAAAUGCUGAGAAAGACCAACAGAUUCUAAAGCUGAGAAGAUGGCCAGGGACUCUUUGCUGCUGGAUGGAAGCUGUCUAGAGCUGCUAGAGUGUCACUCUGGUUGCCACCUUCUCCCAUGAGGACACGUUGACUGAGGGAGAUAUUGAGCCCUGCCCUGACUCUGCACACAACCAAGGAGAGUGCCAGUAGCGCGCGCGCGCGCACACACACACACACACACACACACAAACACACACACCUUUUAUGGAUGACACUGUUUUUAUAUUCAUUAACAUGUCAGUUAGAGGCUGCCUGAGUUUGUAAGAAUGUCAGUGUUGUAUUUUCAGGUUAUUGUCAUUUUAAGUUAGCUUCAGCCUUGUCAGACCAUCAGAUUCGCCCUGCUCUCAAACCAAAAUUUAGAAGAUUCAGGCAGGAUCACUUAAUUUUAAGUUAGAAGUCAUGUGUGUUUCCUAUACAGUCUGUGUUUUUUUUUUGCCUUUAAUACCUACUGGGAUAUUGAUGUGUAUUUUAAUUGCAUAUCAAAUAAACUGACUUUCGAUUUGAAAUAAGCUGUAUCUGUGUGGUAUGUGUCUGCAUGAGGUAGUUAUUAAUUGAUAUUGCAUAAUGAGAUUGAAUAAGCAUAAGUGACAAUAACUUGGGUA